AGGGAAGCGAGCCGGCGACGGUAAGCGAAUCCCAAAAAUAAACGUCCCAGUUCGGAUUGCAGUCUGCAACUCGACUGCAUGAAGCUGGAAUCGCUAGUAAUCGCGGAUCAGAAUGCCGCGGUGAAUACGUUCCCGGGUCUUGUACACACCGCCCGUCACACCAUGGGAGCCGGAAAUGCCCGAAGUCAGUGGCUUAACCGAAAGGGGAGAGCUGCCGAAGGCAGGUCUGGUAACUGGGGUGAAGUCGUAACAAGGUACC
rnacentral:rRNA from 1 species